UUGAACGCUGGCGGCAGGCCUAACACAUGCAAGUCGAACGGUAACAGGAAACAGCUUGCUGUUUCGCUGACGAGUGGCGGACGGGUGAGUAAUGUCUGGGAAACUGCCUGAUGGAGGGGGAUAACUACUGGAAACGGUAGCUAAUACCGCAUAACGUCGCAAGACCAAAGAGGGGGACCUUCGGGCCUCUUGCCAUCGGAUGUGCCCAGAUGGGAUUAGCUUGUUGGUGGGGUAACGGCUCACCAAGGCGACGAUCCCUAGCUGGUCUGAGAGGAUGACCAGCCACACUGGAACUGAGACACGGUCCAGACUCCUACGGGAGGCAGCAGUGGGGAAUAUUGCACAAUGGGCGCAAGCCUGAUGCAGCCAUGCCGCGUGUAUGAAGAAGGCCUUCGGGUUGUAAAGUACUUUCAGCGGGGAGGAAGGGAGUAAAGUUAAUACCUUUGCUCAUUGACGUUACCCGCAGAAGAAGCACCGGCUAACUCCGUGCCAGCAGCCGCGGUAAUACGGAGGGUGCAAGCGUUAAUCGGAAUUACUGGGCGUAAAGCGCACGCAGGCGGUUUGUUAAGUCAGAUGUGAAAUCCCCGGGCUCAACCUGGGAACUGCAUCUGAUACUGGCAAGCUUGAGUCUCGUAGAGGGGGGUAGAAUUCCAGGUGUAGCGGUGAAAUGCGUAGAGAUCUGGAGGAAUACCGGUGGCGAAGGCGGCCCCCUGGACGAAGACUGACGCUCAGGUGCGAAAGCGUGGGGAGCAAACAGGAUUAGAUACCCUGGUAGUCCACGCCGUAAACGAUGUCGACUUGGAGGUUGUGCCCUUGAGGCGUGGCUUCCGGAGCUAACGCGUUAAGUCGACCGCCUGGGGAGUACGGCCGCAAGGUUAAAACUCAAAUGAAUUGACGGGGGCCCGCACAAGCGGUGGAGCAUGUGGUUUAAUUCGACGCAACGCGAAGAACCUUACCUGGUCUUGACAUCCACGGAAGUUUUCAGAGAUGAGAAUGUGCCUUCGGGAACCGUGAGACAGGUGCUGCAUGGCUGUCGUCAGCUCGUGUUGUGAAAUGUUGGGUUAAGUCCCGCAACGAGCGCAACCCUUAUCCUUUGUUGCCAGCGGUCCGGCCGGGAACUCAAAGGAGACUGCCAGUGAUAAACUGGAGGAAGGUGGGGAUGACGUCAAGUCAUCAUGGCCCUUACGACCAGGGCUACACACGUGCUACAAUGGCGCAUACAAAGAGAAGCGACCUCGCGAGAGCAAGCGGACCUCAUAAAGUGCGUCGUAGUCCGGAUUGGAGUCUGCAACUCGACUCCAUGAAGUCGGAAUCGCUAGUAAUCGUGGAUCAGAAUGCCACGGUGAAUACGUUCCCGGGCCUUGUACACACCGCCCGUCACACCAUGGGAGUGGGUUGCAAAAGAAGUAGGUAGCUUAACCUUCGGGAGGGCGCUUACCACUUUGUGAUUCAUGACUGGGGUG
rnacentral:rRNA from 1 species